UACGGAGGGUGCAAGCGUUAUCCGGAAUCAUUGGGUUUAAAGGGUCCGCAGGCGGAUUUAUAAGUCAGUGGUGAAAGCCCGUCGCUCAACGACGGAACUGCCAUUGAUACUGUAAGUCUUGAAUUCAAUCGAAGUGGGCGGAAUAUGACAUGUAGCGGUGAAAUGCUUAGAUAUGUCAUAGAACACCGAUAGCGAAGGCAGCUCACUAGGUCUGGAUUGACGCUCAGGGACGAAAGCGUGGGGAGCAAACAGG
rnacentral:rRNA from 1 species